rnacentral:misc_RNA from 1 species
GAGAAGUAUCUGUAGCAAUCACCUAAUUCGGUGCAAUAAUGCAACUCUCAUUCUACACUGUUGGAUCGAGAAAUGGACAUCCGAGAUUCGUCCACGUCAUCAUGAGUUAAAAUUUAACUCGCAGGCUCAUGAAUUAAAAUUUACAUGGAAGUUAAAUUUUAACUCAUGGUGACGUGGACGAAUCUCGGACGUCCAUUUUCCAAUCCAACGGUGUAGGAUGAAAGUUGCAUUAUUGCACCGAAUUAGGUGAUUGCACCGGAUACUUUCCCUCUUCUCCCCU